rnacentral:snoRNA from 1 species
CCCGCCACUAUACCAGUCUGCCAGGGUGACUGGCUGUAAUCCAGUGGAGGCUCAGAUUGACCCGGCUUUAGGAAACAGGGCUGCCCAGCCUAGUGGGCAUCUCUGUGCCGAAAAGUCUGGAACAUGU